UACGGGGGGGGGCGAGCGUUGUUCGGAAUUACUGGGCGCAAAGGGUUUGUAGGUGGCCUGCUAAGUCAGACGUGAAAUCCCUCAGCUUAACUGGGGAACUGCGUCUGAUACUGGCGGGCUUGAGGACAGGAGAGGAACGCGGAAUUCCAGGUGUAGCGGUGAAAUGCGUAGAUAUCUGGAGGAACACCGGUGGCGAAGGCGGCGUUCUGGACUGUUUCUGACACUGAAAAACGAAAGCCAGGGGAGCAAACGGG
rnacentral:rRNA from 1 species